rnacentral:rRNA from 1 species
UGGGUAAACAAGCAAAUAAAUUAAAACUUUCAACAACGGAUCUCUUGGCUCUGGCAUCGAUGAAGAACGCAGCGAAAUGCGAUAAGUAAUGUGAAUUGCAGAAUUCAGUGAAUCAUCGAAUCUUUGAACGCACAUUGCGCCCGCCAGUAUUCUGGCGGGCAUGCCUGUUCGAGCGUCAUUACAACCCUCAGGCCCCCGGGCCUGGCGUUGGGGAUCGGCGGAAGCCCCCUGUGGGCACACGCCGUCCCUCAAAUACAGUGGCGGUCCCGCCGCAGCUUCCAUUGCGUAGUAGCUAACACCUCGCAACUGGAGAGCGGCGCGGCCAUGCCGUAAAACACCCAACUUCUGAAUGUUGACCUCGAAUCAGGUAGGAAUACCCGCUGAACUUAAGCAUAUCAAUAAGCGGAGG